CCACCCCCUCUCUUCCCGUGGGUGUCGUAAGAGGCGACUAAGGGAUAACACAGUUCCACUACCACCUUGGAACUUAUAAACCGACCGGUGGCGGGAUAACCAUCCAACUGCAGGCUUUGAAAUACAUAGGCCGAAGACGGGCAGCAGCGUCUUCGGUGCGACAAAGCCAGCCCUGCGGUCACCAACCCACCUGCCCAGCGUGGUGACUAUGGACAAUACACAUGAG
rnacentral:misc_RNA from 1 species